UGUCUUUUUGUAGUUAUAAAAAGUCUUACCUGCUCACUGAUAAUAUUAUUAAAGAGCUGCAGUAUUUUGACUGUACAAAGGUAGCAUAAUAAUUAGUUUUUUAAUUGGAAACUUGUAUGAAAGGUUGGACAAAAUAAAAUCUGUCUCUGUUAUUUAUAUGAAAUUUAACUUUUAAGUGAAAAGGCUUAAAUAUUUCAAUGGGACGAUAAGACCCUAUAAGCUUUAUAUUUAUAUUAUAUUAUUAAAAAAUUUAUUUAAAUAUUUAUGUAAGCAAAAUAUUUGGCUGGGGCGGCAAGUUAAAAAUUAAAUUAACUUUUCAUUUAUAAGUCACUUAUGUGUGAAUAUAAUAGAUCCUUUUUUAAGAUUAAAAGAAAAGUUACUUUAGGGAUAACAGCGUUAUUUUUCUUGAGAGUUCUUAUCGAAAGAAAAGAUUGCGACCUCGAUGUUGAAUUAAAAUUUCUAUAUAGUGUAGCAGCUUU
rnacentral:rRNA from 1 species